CGCGCCCAGGCUCCCGCCCCUGGCCUCCUUACCAGCCACUUGUCGCCCAGCUGCGAACUGGAGCGGGAGGCGGCGGCCGAAGGGCCCAGGACAGCCCCGGGAGGGCGGCGAGGCGGAGCAGGAGCGCCCCGGCUCCGGCCACAUUCUCAGAGUCAGGAAAAGGGGCGAGAGGCCACAUGUCUCCCUCUCGCCAAACUGAAAACGAAACGGCGCUCCAGCAGAUUGGGUGGAAAGAGCUGUGUCUGUUUUCUCUGUUUUUCACGCUAGAAAGGGCUUGUAAACAUUGUUCCUUUUAAAAUGACCUACCCCGGGAGGUUUGGGCACACUUCUGUCCUGGGGUCAUCGUUCGUAGGUGGCUUCGGACCUGGGACUUUGAUUUCCUGUAUCUGCACAUUGUCGUUUUAUACACAAUUGCCAAGCGGAUCCUGUUACAGUGCAAAGAAGAAAUGGCAAACGGAUAACAGCUACUGUGCCUAGAAGAUGGUUCUGCCCUGAUGUUUCCUGGAAUAAUGCUGAGGACUGCCUUUCGGGUAGCCUCCCUAUUCAGUUCACUUCAUCUCGGAAAUACCUGACCCCUGCCUUGGAUCCAGCGGCCCUCCUGAGAGCUGAGGAAGGAGGAAAUCCUACAUGUCUGCUCCCGGAGCUGCCACAACCCAUCUUCCCACAACUCGGAACUUGGAAAAAGGAACCCAGGACACGACUUUGCUUUUCUUUUGGACCUAGUUGGUGAUUAUACUCUGUCUCCCAUGGAGACCACGUCUUGCAUCCUUCCUUCUAUAUGGGAUUUAGGAUAGAAAUUAAAAAGAAAACAUAUUAUUUUGAGUCUUGAUUUGGAGAAAGGUAGUAUUCAGGAGGAAGUAGGCUAUGAUACACAUAGAAAAUUUGAGGACAGUGUUACUUAACAAGGACAUUUCUGUCUCUGCAGAAGUCACAGCUUGGAGGAAACCAGUUUGCACUGUUUGAGGAGGAAUUUGGCCACCGAACCACUGAUACUUUCCCAAAGGUUUGGCAGAAAUUGUUUUUUGAGUGGCUCACCAGAGUACCUAGAAGAAUCAGCAUGGAAUUAGAGGACAGUGGCCUACCCUAAAUAAAGACAUGAGUGAUGUGUAAAGUCUAGUGUCAAUUUAUUCAGAAAAUAUCAAAAUUAUUCUGGGAGCUAUGGGUCAAAGUUGAUAGGCACAAACAAACAAAA
rnacentral:lncRNA from 1 species